CUCUGCACUGUGUUCCUGCUCCAGCUUCAGCAGCAGACAUCCCAGGAUGAGAGAACUAGAAGAGACUUGAGAGGUGAUUCCUUCCAUGGAUCCAUGGAUGAUAGAUUCUUCCAGGGAAUCUGCAGUGGCCUCCAUGCUGUUUCCAGCUUGUUUUAACAGAUGAAAAAGUGGGAACUGAGGUGGUGGCUUGCCCACAAUGAUGCACCUGGUGAAAGUGCAGCAGAAUUUGAACCCAGUCCUUUGCACCAGUUUUCUGAAGAAGUUUAAAUCCUCACUUGUUCCCCUUCCAGGAGUCAGGAAUUUCUGGUUCUUGGCCCAGCUGACAUAUGCACAUGUGACUGACCUCCUCUGACCCCAGGUUUGGAUGCCAUAUUGUCUGCUUCCAGAACAAGGAUCUUCACUAUACAUUGGGACCCAGGCCCCUCUGACAUCUCCUGAAUAAAAAGCGAUGUUUAAUAAAACAGUUUAAAAUUUGUAAUUCC